rnacentral:rRNA from 1 species
UACGAAGGGGGCUAGCGUUGUUCGGAAUUACUGGGCGUAAAGCGCACGUAGGCGGACUAUUAAGUCAGGGGUGAAAUCCCGGGGCUCAACCCCGGAACUGCCUUUGAUACUGGUAGUCUCGAGUCCGGAAGAGGUGAGUGGAAUUCCGAGUGUAGAGGUGAAAUUCGUAGAUAUUCGGAGGAACACCAGUGGCGAAGGCGGCUCACUGGUCCGGUACUGACGCUGAGGUGCGAAAGCGUGGGGAGCAGACAGG